UGGGGCAGGGGCCAGGAGAUGGGGAGGCCCUCAGGACUGGGGUUGGGCAAGAAGGUCCUCCCAAGACCCCUGGCCCACCAGCCAGCCCUCUUUGGCCUUCAGGCCUCCCUCUGAACCCUCCCCCGUAUUGCUCAGAGCCAGGGAAGCAGCCUCCCUGAGGAGCCCCUGCCCUGGUGGGUGACUGCCGACCCCGGGGCGCACGGGAGGGCCCUGUGCUGGCCCCACAGCACUGCUGGGCCAGCCUGAGCUGUGCCGCUGCCCCCGCCCCGUCGUCCUGUGGGCUGUGGGCGAGCUCCUCUGUCUUUGUCUACUGUCUCGGGCUGGCUCCCCUGCCGGCCGCGGGCUCUGCCUCGCUUCUCCUCUAAGGUCAGCAGGCGGCGGCCUCAGGCAGCUCUCCCCUUCCUCCCCCUGGGCCAGGCUCAGCCAGCACCCCAGUCCUCCAGCCCUCAACUCCCACUCGCCAGCUGCCUGCACUUCUCAUGCCUGCAGGGCUCCGGCCUGCCUCCCCCUGCACCUCGGAGCCAGCACGGCCGGCCUGGCCCCCAGUGCUCGGGGGCUGCGGUGGGGAGCUCUGGGCCAGAGACCUGGGGGUACCUCUGCCCUCAUGGUGCCUUCCUGGGGAGCUGGGUGGCUGCUGCACACCCUGGUCCUGUCCCAUCCUGGGAUUUGCCUGCCCCAGGCUUCAGGUGCACCUGCCCUGCCUGCCCACGUGCAACCUCCCUGCACACAGUCCGGUCCACGCGAGCUUCCAAGCGCCUGAGAACAGAGCGCUGCCCGGCGCCCAGGGUCAGGUGUGGCUUGAUCACUGAGGGAGGGAGCUGCACCUGUCCCCGGGCGGGGCCCCCGGCAGAGAGGAGGAGCCAGGAUCCUGUCCCUAGGCCUUGUGACGGGCCUGAUGAUGGGCCGCCGGAAGCAGCAGGAGCCUGAGCCACAAAACGUGAGUCAGAGGGGCCCCGGGGCCGCGGGGUCAGCCCUUCCUCCCUCGGAGGCUUGCGAGGGACCAGCCCGCUGCGCCUCCGCUGCACCUCCCCCUGCCCCGGGCGCCUGGGGAGUGGCUGCCCGGGAGCAGGCUGCUGUCGGGGGUCUGCGAUGGCUGAAGGGCCUCGACCUGGGGGCAGCCCCUGCUGGCCGCACCGACAGUCCCGCAGGCCGCCCCCCAGGGCUCUGGCCCUAAUGGGCCACAGCUGCUGCCUGACACUGGGCUCUACCCAGUGAAGCGGGACCUUCCUCCUGUUGUCACCUUACGGGUGGCCUGUCCCGCGCCGAGACCAAGGGCCGUGUGUCCGUGGGGCAGGGACCCUGAGGCCCCACUCUGGGAGCGGCCUCGUCGUUCAUGGCUCGUGUCGGUGCCCCCGAGAGAGGCGGUCCGUGUUCUUGUUUGGAGGCACAGCCGCCAUGGUGCCCGGGGCUCCCAGGCUGGGCCCCCCUGCCCGGGCUGUGCGCUCGCCGAGGUGCGCGGCCUCUCCUACACACAGAGCGCAGGAAACAGUCCUUGCUUAAACCCUAAAAGAGGAGCAAUGAUGUAAUCAGGUAAAGUGCCCGGUAGGUAUGUGGACUGUGUGUGGGGGGGGUUGACUGCUGUGCCCGCCCAUUCAUUCGCGGUGCCCCCAACCUGGGCAGAAAGCUGCGGCAGGGAGGGCCCUUCCCUUGGGCCUGGGGGCCGGGGGGUGGGGGCAUAUUUUGGGGUCACCCCCGACUCCACCGGGCGCGCUGCUGCAGAAGGACCUGACCUGGCCACUCAAGAGCCGGGUCCACACGGUGGGGGUGUGUGCCGUGGCCUGCGGCCGGGUCCGAGCUCCUGCCCCAUGAACACUGACCUCCUGGUGGGGGCAUCGGCUUAGAGUCCGCGGACCGGGGGAGGGGAGAGGGGGAGAAGAGAAG
rnacentral:lncRNA from 12 species